rnacentral:rRNA from 1 species
CAGUCGAACGAGCGAGAGAGAGCUUACUUUCUCAAGCGAGUGGCGAACGGGUGAGUAACGCGUGAGGAAUCUGCCUCAAAGAGGGGGACAACAGUUGGAAACGACUGCUAAUACCGCAUAAGCCCACGACCCGGCAUCGGGUAGAGGGAAAAGGAGCAAUCCGCUUUGAGAUGGCCUCGCGUCCGAUCAGCUAGUUGGUGAGGUAACGGCCCACCAAGGCGACGAUCGGUAGCCGGACUGAGAGGUUGAACGGCCACAUUGGGACUGAGACACGGCCCAGACUCCUACGGGAGGCAGCAGUGGGGAAUAUUGCACAAUGGGGGAAACCCUGAUGCAGCGACGCCGCGUGGAGGAAGAAGGUCUUCGGAUUGUAAACUCCUGUUGUUGAGGAAGAUAAUGACGGUACUCAACAAGGAAGUGACGGCUAACUACGUGCCAGCAGCCGCGGUAAAACGUAGGUCACAAGCGUUGUCCGGAAUUACUGGGUGUAAAGGGAGCGCAGGCGGGAAGACAAGUUGGAAGUGAAAUCCAUGGGCUCAACCCAUGAACUGCUUUCAAAACUGUUUUUCUUGAGUAGUGCAGAGGUAGGCGGAAUUCCCGGUGUAGCGGUGGAAUGCGUAGAUAUCGGGAGGAACACCAGUGGCGAAGGCGGCCUACUGGGCACCAACUGACGCUGAGGCUCGAAAGUGUGGGUAGCAAACAGGAUUAGAUACCCUGGUAGUCCACACUGUAAACGAUGAUUACUAGGUGUUGGAGGAUUGACCCCUUCAGUGCCGCAGUUAACACAAUAAGUAAUCCACCUGGGGAGUACG